rnacentral:tRNA from 1 species
GGAUGGGUGGCCGAGCGGUUUAAGGCACCGGUCUUGAAAACCGUUAUUCCGGUUCCCUCGCCUCUUUUUGCUACCCGAAUUUAUCCU